UACAGAGGGUGCAAGCGUUAAUCGGAAUUACUGGGCGUAAAGCGUGCGUAGACGGUUAUUUAAGUCAGGUGUGAAAGCCCCGGGCUCAACCUGGGAAUUGCAUUCGAGACUGCGUAGCUAGGGUGCGGAAGAGGGAAGCGGAAUUUCCGGUGUAGCGGUGAAAUGCGUAGAUAUCGGAAGGAACAUCAGUGGCGAAAGCGGCUUCCUGGUCCAGCACCGACGUCAGGCACGAAAGCGUGGGGAGCAAACAGG
rnacentral:rRNA from 1 species